GCUGUUCCUGUUGUUCCCCUGCUCUGCGGAUCUGGCGCUGCGGGAGGCACGGAUGCUCCGAGGGAGCCAGCUACAGCCAGCGAAGGCUCAAGCACCCUGCAGAGGCCAGGCUGCAGCCCAGGCGAUGGAUGGGGACGGCUGCCAUGCGGUGCUGAGCCCAGCGGUUGUUGCUAAACAACCAACCCUGGCGCUGGAGAUGUCAGCCAGUGCAAUCCCUGCCCCAAGCAGUUCACAGCGCUGCCAGCACUCCAGCACCUCAGAAGGGAGAAGGAAGCAAGGAGAAAAGCCCUGAACCCCAGUACUUUCCCCUGCACCGUGGGCUGCAGCUCUGACACGUCAUCAUUGCAACUGGACGGCGAAACGAGAACUCUGACAGCACCCAUGGGUGAAGGACUGCACCCAGCACAGCCAGCAGCGACCAGCUCCUGUCCUGUCUGCUGCCCGACGGACGCCUGGCAUCCCGGGACCCGAGGUGAGCAUGGAGCGAGAGCGGGCAGGGAGUGGGCAGGGAGAUGGGAGCGGGCAGGGAACGGGCAGCAAUUGGGCAGGGAACAGCCAUGGAGCAUGCCAAGGAUUGGGCAGGGAGCAGGGGAACAGACAGGGAACAGACAGCAAGCAGGCAGGGAAUAGGACAGGGGCAGCUGCUGGUACUCGGAGUGCUGGGAUCAGCGUGCAGGUCGCAGAGGCAGCCCAGCGCUGCCAUGGCCGCUCCGCUGAUACCCGCGGGCAGGGA